CAAUAGCAUAUAUUAACGUUGUUGCAGUUGAAAAGCUCGUAGUUGAACUUUUGGUAGGAGCGACCUGGCCUUGGGCGCAUGCCCUUGUUUGCCGUGUGUCGUGUCUGGCCAUCCUUUUCCGCUUCGGCGGGAAUCUUUUACUGUGAGUAAACUGGAGUGCUCAAAACAAGACGUUUGUUUGGUACAUUAAAGCAUGGAAUAAUAAGAUAAGACCUGGUUACUAUUUUGUUGGUUUGCAUAGCUAGGUAAUGAUUAACAGGGACAGUUGGGGGUAUUCGUAUUUAAUUGUCAGAGGUGAAAUUCUUGGAUUUAUGAAAGACGAACGACUGCGAAAGCAUUUACCAAGGAUGUUUUCAUUAA
rnacentral:rRNA from 1 species